AUCAGAUAAAAAAUAAGACAUAUAUAAUGCACUAUUGGAACCAAAACUGAGCCACUGCAAGGCAUAGACCUGGCAAGCUAUCUAUAGUAUGGCUCCUUAACUAGCCCUCAAAAUGUUCAGACAUGCCAAUUUUCACAAUGCAUGACCUAACUCUGGAGGAGGAAGGAGGACCAUGAGAAAGUUUACAAACAGCCUGCAGGCUUCCCCACAGACUGUGUUCCAGCGGAUAAUGUACAAGGUACCCUGACAGUGGUCAUAAAAUCUAUUUUAAUCGGAAGCUACUAACAGUUGUUCUGUUUAACAGCUACUAGAGGCAUG